UAUGUGGUAUGAGCGCCAUCCUUAUAAGAUGGAAAUAGUGGGUUCAACUCCCACUACCGCCA
rnacentral:tRNA from 1 species